CGCAGUUUAAAGUUGGCUGUUACUCUGCCCAGGCUGCUACCAUAGAAGAAGAAUGUAGACCAAUAGUACUUUAACGAUGUCCGCUGAUCGUUUCCGUGUAAAUCUUAGCAUUGCUUUAGCCGUCAAGCUAAAGGUUUAGCUUCAUACUGCCAUAUUUCAGAGUAACAAAAUAUUUAAACGGUCUCAGAUCAUGGACAGUGAAGUGUCUGACACUGACCAUGUACCAGUGCCUGAGAACACUGGUAUGGAGGGGGAGAACGCACCUCUUUACUGUAUUUGUCGGAAACCAGACAUCAACUGCUCCAUGAUGCUUUGCCAUGAUAAAUUGGUCAGUUGACAACCAGGAGCCGUACACCUUAACCUCAGAGGCCAGGACAUCCAGGGGCAGUGUGAACACGCACUUGCUUAAAUGGGAUGCAAGACGGACUAUAGAGGGCCACCCGCUUGCCAGACAACCAAGUGCUGUCCCUGUCCACGGCCAGUGUGAGAAGGACUCUCACUAAAGUCAACCC